rnacentral:rRNA from 1 species
UACCAGCACCCCGAGUGGUCGGGACGUUUAUUGGGCCUAAAGGCAUCCGUAGCCGGUUCUACAAGUCCCCCGUUAAAUCCAGCUGCUUAACAGAUGGGCUGCGGAGGAUACUAUAAGACUAGGAGGCAGGAGAGGCAAGCGGUACUCAGUGGGUAGGGGUAAAAUCCGUUGAUCCAUUGAAGACCACCAGUGGCGAAGGCGGCUUGCCAGAAUGCGCUCGACGGUGAGGGAUGAAAGCUGGGGGAGCAAACCGG